rnacentral:rRNA from 1 species
CACGUAGGGUGCGAGCGUUGUCCGGAAUUAUUGGGCGUAAAGAGCUCGUAGGCGGCGUGUCGCUUCGGCCGUGAAAACCUGCAGCUUAACUGUGGGCUUGCGGUCGAUACGGGCAUCACUGGAGUUCGGCAGGGGAGACUGGAAUUCCUGGUGUAGCGGUGAAAUGCGCAGAUAUCAGGAGGAACACCGGUGGCGAAGGCGGGUCUCUGGGCCGAUACUGACGCUGAGGAGCGAAAGCGUGGGGAGCGAACAGG